rnacentral:rRNA from 1 species
AGCUCCAAUAGCGUAUAUUAAAGCUGUUGCGGUUAAAAAGCUCGUAGUUGGAUUUCUGUCAAGGACAACUGGUCCGCCCUCCGGGUGAGUACACAGCUUGGUCUUGGCAUCUUGUUGGAACCUGCACUGUGCUUGGCUGUAUGGCGCAGGGUUCAGCACUUUCACUUUGAGGAAAUUGGAGUGUUUCAAGCAGGCACAUGCCUUUGGACACAGUAGCAUGGAAUAAUUAGAUUGGGCCUUUGCUCCAUCUUGUCGGUUCAUGGAGCUGAGGUGAGAGUUAAUGGGAAUUGUUGGGGGCAUCCG